GACGAACGCUGGCGGCGUGCCUAAUACAUGCAAGUCGAGCGAGACUCUUCGGAGUCUAGCGGCGGACGGGUGAGUAACACGUGGGCAACCUGCCUGUAAGACUGGGAUAACACCGGGAAACCGGUGCUAAUACCGGAUAACCCUUUUCCUCUCAUGAGGAAAAGCUGAAAGUCGGUUUCGGCUGACACUUACAGAUGGGCCCGCGGCGCAUUAGCUAGUUGGUGAGGUAACGGCUCACCAAGGCGACGAUGCGUAGCCGACCUGAGAGGGUGAUCGGCCACACUGGGACUGAGACACGGCCCAGACUCCUACGGGAGGCAGCAGUAGGGAAUCUUCCACAAUGGACGAAAGUCUGAUGGAGCAACGCCGCGUGAGCGAUGAAGGCCUUCGGGUCGUAAAGCUCUGUUGUUAGGGAAGAACAAGUACCGGAGUAACUGCCGGUACCUUGACGGUACCUAACCAGAAAGCCACGGCUAACUACGUGCCAGCAGCCGCGGUAA
rnacentral:rRNA from 1 species